rnacentral:rRNA from 1 species
UACGGAGGGUGCAAGCGUUAAUCGGAAUUACUGGGCGUAAAGCGUGCGCAGGCGGCUAUGCAAGACAGAUGUGAAAUCCCCGGGCUCAACCUGGGAACUGCAUUUGUGACUGCAUAGCUAGAGUACGGUAGAGGGGGAUGGAAUUCCGCGUGUAGCAGUGAAAUGCGUAGAUAUGCGGAGGAACACCGAUGGCGAAGGCAAUCCCCUGGACCUGUACUGACGCUCAUGCACGAAAGCGUGGGGAGCAAACAGG